CUAUUUUAAAAUUUUAAUCACAAUAUAAAAUGCAGCAGAACCAGGAAGUAGAAUUCCAGUCUUCUUCACUUACAAUUUCAAAGUUUACAAAUCAAAUUUCAUUAUUUCAAUACUAACCCUUUUGUUAGCUACAUGGUUUGUUUGUAACCCAUUUAUUACUUUCAUAGGUUGAUUGCGAAAGUACAAUUUUUUGGGUUUAAUUUUGACAAAAUUAUGCAGAGAGCUGGAGGUGGAGUAACGGCAUGGAAAGUUGGUACUUGGAAUAAUUGGGCUUACGUAUUAUGUCCUUGUUAUAGCCGAUUAUGGUCCAGCUCUCUUCCAUGGCGGCCUCGAUUCGCUUGUUUCUUUUAUUGUCUUGCUUUUGUUCCAUUCUUUGGUUCUGGAGAGAUCGACUGAGAGCCUAGUAGACCACAAACUGGGUGAGACCUUCUGCAGCUCUGCAUAGUGUCCGUG
rnacentral:misc_RNA from 1 species